GCGUGCUCGGCGGGGGCCACGGCGCUGCUGAUCGCGCCGGUGAGCAUGCACCGGAUCCUGUUCCGGCAGCGCGCCC
rnacentral:tRNA from 1 species